GCUGACGAGCGGCGGACGGGUGAGUAAUGCAUAGGAAUCUGCCCGGUAGUGGGGGAUAACCUGGGGAAACCCAGGCUAAUACCGCAUACGUCCUACGGGAGAAAGGGGGCUCCGGCUCCCGCUAUUGGAUGAGCCUAUGUCGGAUUAGCUAGUUGGUGAGGUAAUGGCUCACCAAGGCGACGAUCCGUAGCUGGUCUGAGAGGAUGAUCAGCCACAUCGGGACUGAGACACGGCCCGAACUCCUACGGGAGGCAGCAGUGGGGAAUAUUGGACAAUGGGCGAAAGCCUGAUCCAGCCAUGCCGCGUGUGUGAAGAAGGCCCUCGGGUUGUAAAGCACUUUCAGCGAGGAAGAACGCCUAGUGGUUAAUACCCACUAGGAAAGACAUCACUCGCAGAAGAAGCACCGGCUAACUCCGUGCCAGCAGCCGCGGUAAUACGGAGGGUGCAAGCGUUAAUCGGAAUUACUGGGCGUAAAGCGCGCGUAGGUGGCUUGAUAAGCCGGUUGUGAAAGCCCCGGGCUCAACCUGGGAACGGCAUCCGGAACUGUCAAGCUAGAGUGCAGGAGAGGAAGGUAGAAUUCCCGGUGUAGCGGUGAAAUGCGUAGAGAUCGGGAGGAAUACCAGUGGCGAAGGCGGCCUUCUGGACUGACACUGACACUGAGGUGCGAAAGCGUGGGUAGCAAACAGGAUUAGAUACCCUGGUAGUCCACGCCGUAAACGAUGUCGACCAGCCGUUGGGUGCCUAGCGCACUUUGUGGCGAAGUUAACGCGAUAAGUCGACCGCCUGGGGAGUACGGCCGCAAGGUUAAAACUCAAAUGAAUUGACGGGGGCCCGCACAAGCGGUGGAGCAUGUGGUUUAAUUCGAUGCAACGCGAAGAACCUUACCUACUCUUGACAUCCUGCGAACUUGUGAGAGAUCACUUGGUGCCUUCGGG
rnacentral:rRNA from 1 species